rnacentral:rRNA from 1 species
CUCGUAGGCGGCUUAGCAAGUCGGGUGUAAAACCUCCAGGCUCAACCUGGAGAGGCCACCCGAUACUGCUAUGGCUAGAGUCCGGUAGGGGACCACGGAAUUCCUGGUGUAGCGGUGAAAUGCGCAGAUAUCAGGAGGAACACCGGUGGCGAAGGCGGUGGUCUGGGCCGGUACUGACGCUGAGGAGCGAAAGCGUGGGGAGCGAACA